GACUCUGCACUACUGUUAGGUUUUGUUCGAGCUGCUUCGGUUGCUAAGGUCUCCUUUAGUUCAAACACUAUCACACUCAUAAUUGGUCUUUGGUUGGGACGUAGAGAAACACAAGCCAUUGCUAUUUCCACGGCUUUCCAGGCUGAGUUAAUGUCAAAAUCUCCUUCUAACCUUGAGUCAACAAUGGCCUUGAUAUCCCCUAUUGCAACCAGGGAUCUAACCCAUUCAAUUAUGUGACUCCUUUCUUCGUUCCUUGCUAUUACUUGCUGGCCUGUGAUUAUUUCCAGAAGAACCACUCCAAAGCUAUAAACAUCACUUUUCUCUGUUAAUCUAUUGUUUGUGUAAUAGCUGCAAUGAAAAAUGCAAGACAUAUCAUGAAACUCAAUAUAUUUUCUGCCAGUGUAUGGUGAUAUCUCAAAAUCUCAGAAAUUAAUGGAUGAACAGUAAUUCAAGUUCUUACUCAGGGUCCAGGUAACCAGGAGUUCCAGCGACAACAGUUGACAAAUGUGAUCCCCCAUCAUCUGGGAUAAUUUUGGAUAGACCAAAAUCAGAUAAUUUCGCUUGGAAGUGUUCAUUCAACAAGAUGUUUGAAGAUUUUACGUCUCGGUGUAUUAUAGGUGGCUUGCAACCAUUUUGCAGAUACUCCAAUCCUAUAUUAGAUUUAUGGAAAAUACAUUAACAAAACUGUCAAAAUGCAUAAUCUGAAGUUUGCUUUCUUACCCAAGGCUGCGUCCAAUGCUAUACGCAGUCUGUCUUCCCAGCUCAAGAAUUUUGAUUUACUGUGUGUACCUGCAAAGAACAAACUCAGUAACUUUCAUACAAUUUGUACAGUUGAGCAAUAUGAAAAUUUCCAUAUCCAGCAUUUUGGAAUACAAAACUAACUAGGAAAUUGAUUUGCACAAACUUUUAACAAGAACUUCAUUUUAUUUGGGAACUGACCAGAGAGAUGUUCCAGUAAGUUUCCAUUGGCCAUGUACUCAUAUAUGAGACUCUUAUUGUUUCCUUCAUCACAAUAACCAAUAAGGGAAGUCAGAUUUUUAUGAUGAACUCUCAGUAGAAGUGUAACCUGAAAAUCAAACCACUACCAUGUUUAGCCAUAUACACUUAUUAAUCAGCUCAAAAAAGUGCAAAGCGAUUAAAACUUACCUCUGCUUGAAAUUGUUCAUAACCACGGAAUGAUGAAGGGGAAAGAAUUUUGACAGCAACUGGAGUGUCAUAAAUAUAGCCCAGAUAAACUGUUCCAAAUCCUCCCCUACCAACAAUUGUAUUGAAAUUGUUGGUAAUUUUACAGAUGUCGGAGUGUGAACAUAUUUGUUUUUUAGACUGCUGUAAUGAACCCUCUUGUUUUGUGUGCUGCUCGGAUAUCUCACUUUGAUCCUUUUCUACCAUCGAAGCUGUUUGAUAUUGUACAAUAGUUUGGAAACUGACAGUUAAGAUUGAAUUUGUUUGGCAAAUUUUGAAAAAGUUAUGAAUGAUUUUAUCAUUGUAGCAUCACCUUUUGAUUUUCUCCUCCUAAGGAUCCACAAUAUAGCUGCCACGGCCACCAGAAGGAUCAAAACCCCGCAGAUUGAUGCUACCAAGGGUAUAACAAUGUUAUCUCUGUGCUCUAUGCAUUUGCCAUGUUCACAGAUAAAUGGAUUUUGACCCAAACUGCAUGGAAAUCACAGAAGAUUUAUGUUCAAAAGUUUAAGCAACCUUGUAAGUAGAGGGAAAAUUAAUCAUGUCAAGACUGGCUCUGAUAAAUCUGAGUUUGGUCACCCUUAAAAACAUAAUAUCUAAUUUUAAUCUAUGACUUCACCAAGUGUUUUUUUAAAGGUCGGAUUAGAUUCAUAUAAAAGUUUGGUUUGAUCAAUGAGCACAUUUAAAAGUUUAUUUCAUUUUUUUUAUCAGAAAAAAACGAAUGAAUAAACAAGAAAAAUUUCAGAAUACCUCAAUCCUUAGUUGAUACCCUCUAUCCUCCUUACAACAAUUGAAUAACCUAAAUGCAAACACUUUUUACUCAUCAUAAAUAUCUUUUAGAAAAGUUUAUUUCAUUUAGGACUUCCAAAAGAUUAUUGAGUUUAUUAAAUUAAAUACAAACGAAUAAUCUCUCUUUCAAACACGUAUCGUGGUUACUUUAAGCAACAUGUUAUGAAUUUGAGUAGUUUAAGUAAGAUUCAUAUACCUUAGGGUGAGAGAACCUUCCUUAGAUUUUUCAACAAGUGCCGAGGGAAUUGAACCGAAGAGGUUAUUCUUCUCCAAGUUUCUGCCAAAAAUACGAAUAAAUAAUCUUUUAGUCUUUUCUGGUACAGUGGAUAACAUAGUUUUAAGUAAUUGAGAACUUACAAGAUCCUCAAGUGUUGUAAUUGAGACAGAAAAUCAGGAAUCUCAUCGUUUAAGCUAUUAUUCGAUAAAUCCCUACAAAUUUAACAAACAAUUUAGCCUUUUUAAGUAUGUUUAAAUCUUGACUCAUGUGACAAAAGAUAUGUCGAUAUGUCGAUUCUUCGCACAUAAUAAGUACAUGCGAAAGAACAAAAAGAAUUAAAACAGGAAAUUUUUCUGGUCUCAUGUAUUUCUGGAUGGGAUGAAAUAAAAAAAAAACAAAAAAACUCACAGCUUCUCCAACAUGGUGAGCUUUGAGAUUGAAGGGUCUAUCUUUCCUGACAAUCCACUUGAAGAUAAAUUCCUGUCUUGCUCAAUGAAUAGUUAUAUUUAUAUACAAUAUUAUCUCAGUUUAUGAAGCAAUAAUAGAAAUUUGGCCAACAAAACUUACAGAGUUGUGAUUCUUGGGAACUCAUCGUCGCCAUAAGUACAGUUGAGACCAUCCCACAAGUAGUCUGUAGGGGCGCAUGGAUCACCUUGCCAAUCUCUUUUCACUCCAUAAACUGACUUGAUGCUUGUAAUCGCAUCAACUUUUUUUCAAUGCAAAAGAUGGGUUGAAGGUAGUUAAGGUCAUGUACAAUAGUGAAAACCAAAUAAUUGGAUUUAAAAAAUGAAAAAUACCAUCUCCUUGGAGUGUUUGAGGUUUCUGUAAGUCUAUUACUCUGUAAAUUUCAAGGGCACUGAUGAUGGGAGGCAGGGUUGAAUUUCCGGUCCUCACGAGGGAAUAUUUAAUUUCUUUUCCACUGACUGCUGAAGAGGUAUUUAAAGUGUCGACGACCAGGUAUCGUGGAGAAAAAUUUGGAAUCCAUAAUUCACCGUUCCUCAUGAUGUUGAAUUGUCUUGUCUGAUUGGUGGUUAACUCUUGAAUCUCUGUGAAGUGCAUGUAAAAAUAUAAUUCAUCAGUUUCAUGCUCUGGAUUCCACCUUAUUAGCAACGGAGCACUAUCAUUUGGCGGUCUAACUGCGGUGCUCAUGAUAAUAGCUCUCAGAUGGUAAUCGCCCUGAUUGAAAGAAUCGUCUGGAAUCGAAGCACUUAGGUUUGUCCAAUCUUCCUUGAAGUCCCAGGGAUACCAGAAACGAUCAUAGUCAUCAUUCGGGUACCUGUGAGAAAAUCAGAAUAAAUCCAAUAAUGAAUGAAUCAAUUAAUCUUAUAAGGCAACAGAUUUGAUCCAUAAGUAUGAUUUCACCUGUAGGCUAUGUCUGAACCCAAAUCGUAACGCUUAAUUAGUUUCAGUGAUCCAUAUUGAGUGACGUAUGUAUGAUUUUUCAAAGUCCUGAAUUCUAUGGUUGUUAUAAAUGGUGUGCCAUCGCCUGUGUCAACCAGACAGAUUUGUACAUAAUCCAGUGAAGGUACAUGUAUGAUCUCCUCGAAUUGGGGACUGGAUUCAUCUUUUAUAUCAACUGUAGCCCACUUGUUAGUUCCCAGAAGAAGACCAAACUGUGGUAAAAAAUUUUGGUCAUCAUAAUUUCCAUACAGAAAAAGAGUGCGGAUGAGAUACUUAGAGCCUCUUUCGGCGCUUAUUUUGAAGCAGUUCCUUUUUCCUUCUGGGAAGCUUCUCAGCAUCCACAGUUCUCGUUGUUGUUGAUUCUGUCCUCUGAUCUCAGGUGUUAUUGUCAAUCUCACACCAGUAUUUAUGAAAUUUGCAUCCGAAACGUAAUUUAUGCCUCGUAGGUCAUUAUAGUUGACAUCUGCUUCAGCUCCGCAAUCUAUGCUGAUGAAUCCUAAAACAUAAAAUUGUAUAUAUUACUUUAAAGUUGUUACAAAUUUUGAAUAAAAUUACACAUUAUUAAAGAUAGAAUAUUCCUAGAAAAGAUAUUUUUUUUUAUCCAGAUCAUACUGCUGCAAGUUUAGUUCAAAAACAUGUGAGAUAUGAGUAAGUCACUAUUUGCAUUUGUGUUCUUAAAUUGUUAUAAUUGUACUUCUUACAGGAAACAACUAGUGAUGCAGGUGGCAAGAGAGAAACUAAGUAAGGCUAGGAAGAUACUUUCGACUAGUGCAACCAGUAAAUAAUGAUAUAAUGAAGUUGUUUGAGAAAAGAAAUGGUUGGUGUUUGGUGUAACGAACCUGGUUGAGCAUGAGCUUGAAGAAGUAGAACAGCUAAAAUAGCAACGUAGAAACUGAUCCACAUUGACUCAGAGGAGCUAGUCAACGUGUGAGCUUUUGAGGUAAUUACAAACACUUUUUAGCUUUAAUUUCUGUUUCCGUGUUUAACUCUGCAAUCUGCAUCAUACAAAUAAUACUACUUAAUUCACCCAUCAAUCAAACCUGACUUCAAAUAAAAUCUGUAUUUUAAUUUUUUUAAAAACAGCUAGCAUAAAAGGCUGAAUAUUAUCACAAAAACUACAAUGAUUGCUAUAUGCUAAAAAAAAGAGAAAAAAUAUGCAUACAAAAAAUAGCAGCAUCACUGAGGAAUAAUCUUUUUAAUUGGUUAAUGACCAUGUAUAAAAAUUAGUAUAUAUAUCCAACUAUAUUAACAUACUGAUANNNNNNNNNNNNNNNNNNNNNNNNNNNNNNNNNNNNNNNNNNNNNNNNNNNNNNNNNNNNNNNNNNNNNNNNNNNNNNNNNNNNNNNNNNNNNNNNNNNNCAGAACAUAUAUAUAUAUAUAUAUAUAUAUAUAUAUAUAUAUCGGAAGUUAUGAAUCAACAUAAGGUACAAAUAGAAAGACACCGUGUAAUUGCUUGGGAAGGUGUUUCUCUGCUGCUACUGUGAUAUCUCUCCAAGGUAGGUUUUUGGUGGAUGAAUAAUGGAGAUGGAAAGUAGUUUAAUAUGGUUAUGAUGAAAAGUAUUUGACAUGGCAAGGUUUGUCCUUUACAGUACAAGACAAUGUGGAAUAGUUGCAGUGGUAGAAGCCAAUGUGGAAUAGUUGCAGUGGUAGAACCCUAAGCCAAUGACCAUUGACUUCCUCUCAAAUACAAAACAAAAACUAACCUUUCUUUCUUUCUUUCCUUCCAACCUCCACAACCACACAUCUUACCACUUAUAAUUAUUAUUGGAAAAAAACAUACUACUGACAAAUGAGAAAAUUGAGAAAGAGAUUUUUACUUGUUGUUUCUAGAAGAUGAUGUUGCUUCAUGGAGGAUUUUUUUUUUAUAAAAAAAAUAAAUUAAAUGAAGGUAUUUUAGGAAUAUCUCAACUGUUAUACAGAGCACCCCUUUCAAUUUGCCAACACUCCAAACACCACAAAAAUCCUACAAAAUAUUCCAGAAAAAACACUACCUACAUUAAUCCUAAUACUUUCACAGAACUGGGAACUAAACUAAAAAAAAAAAACCCAGAUUCCAUAAUACACAUAAAAACAACUUUACUCAUACAGCCAUUGAUGAUCUUACUUACAUUCUACCUUACCACAUAGUGCUUCAAUUGAUAUGUAUUACCGAACAAAAACCCUGCAUUUUAGAUAGUUGUUUCUAUAACUAGUUUCUACAUCUAUACCUGACUAGUGAAUUGCCUCCUGUGACCGUUGCCAUAGUUACAGGUAAGAACCCUUUCCAAAUCUACAAAGCCAUCUUCAUUCCCUCUUCCUUGCAUCCUAUGUGUACUCCACGGUUUCCAAGCAAUCAUUUGCAUAACUUUUCCCUACCCCUAUAUUUUGCAUCUGCUGUAGACUCUACUAUCUCUGCAUCUCCGCCUGCCAGCUCCUCCAUACUCCAAGAUUUUCUCUGAUAAUGCCAGUACCAGUACCAACAAAGAUUCUACCAAAAAGAGAAUUGGACAGCAACAUUCAUCCUGCAAAACAAAAAGAGUACCAGUAACAUAAAGUGAAGAUAACCAAAAAUAUAGAGCCUAAGCAUAUUCAAAAAUAAGAUAAGAUGGUUGUGCUUAAAUUUUACUGAAAGAGGAUUAGCCUGGAUUUAUAUGUCAAGGUUACGAAUUAGAAACAAAUCAAAAUUAAAGGGUAAGUAUUACAAUCGUUUUGAAAGGAUUUUGUUAAUUAAACAUUAAAAUAAAUUGAUUGUUAUUUUUAUAAGAAAGAAGUUGCUGACAAAUUUGAAUAUUUCAUUAAUCUUUGUUGAUUCUAUUCUAUUAAAAAAAAUGGAGUCCGAAAAUUUCCUCUAUUGAAGGUGCAGAGAAUAAAAACAAAGGUAAGAAACUGUGUGUGCAAAAAUGGUUAAUGGCAAACCCUACCCAUUUCCUUGGUGGGCACUAUAUAUAAAAUUAUUACCAAGGUGUUAUCUUGUCAGAUCAAGAAAGUGCUCCCAAUGGUUAUUGACGAUAGCGAUUCAGCUUUCUUGAAGGAUAGAGGAUUGCUAGAAAGUGUCCUUGUUGCUAAUGAAGUUGUUGAGGAGAUAAGGAGGCACGAGAGGAGUGGGUUAAGUCUAAAAGUGGAUUAUGAAAAGGCGUACUACUCGGUAAAGUGGAAUUUCUUAUAUGACAUGCUACACAUGUUGGGCUUCCAUUGUAAAUGGAUUAACUGGGUUAGAGGCUACUUGGAGUCUGCAUCGGUGUCAGCCCUACAGCAGAAUUUAAACCAUUUAAAGGGUUAAGGCAAGGCGUUCCCUUAGCCUCGUUCCUCUUCCUCAUAGUAGCUUAAGGCUUGGCUGGGCUAGUUAGGCAAGGGCUAAAAGGAGAAUAUGCUUAAAGGUUUGAAGGUGGGAAAGACUAAGGUUGAAUCUUGUUUGUUAAAAUUCGCGGACGACACCCUCAUCAUGUGUGAAGAUACCUUUUCGAAUGUUAUUGCUAUUAAAGUUAUUCUAAGGUGUUUUGAGAUUGUUUCUGGGAUAAAGAUCAACUUCUACAAAUCUAAUCUGGCAGGAAUAAAUGUCAAGAGGAAUACCCUUGAAUGCUUUGCAAAAACGCUAAAUUGUACACUAAUGAGGAUACCUUUCAUUUAUUUGGGUUAAGAAGUAUGAGGUAACACAAGGAAGAAGCAAUUCUAGGAGCCAAUCUUGAAUAAGAUAAGUGCUAGACUAAGUACUUGGAAGGGGCAUUUUUUGUCCUUUGCGGGAAGAAUUUCUCUUAUCAAGUAUGUGUUUUCUGCCUUACCUUUAUUUUACUUCUCUUUCUAUAAAGCUCUGGUGUCAAUGUGUAAUAGAAUUAUUAAUAUCCAGAGGAAGUUUUUAUGGGCAUGGGGAAGAGAUCACACACCAAUAUCAUGGGUUAGUUGGGAAAAUGUAUGCAAACCCAUGGAGGAAUGAGGGUUGAGGAUUAGAGAUACCAGAGCUUUUAAUAGUGCUUUGUUGGAAAAAUGGAGGUGGCGGAUGGUGAGCAAUGAACAAGGCAGGUGGACAGACAUUUUUCUUUCCAAAUACGGGUUGGAAUUAGAUUGGAGUCAAACCUCCAUGAAAUUUCAAUCACGAUGGUGGAGAGAUCUUUGUAGUGUUUGUGGAGAUGGAGAAGAAGAGGGUUGGUUCCAAAAAGCAAUUCGAUGGAAAGUUUGUUCUGGGGAUAAAGCAAGAUUUUGAGAGGAUGCUUGGGCUGGUACCGAUAACCUUGUCAACAUGUACCCUAGGCUAUACUUUUUGUCAUUGGAUCAGGGGUUGACAGUGGCAGAGGUAGGUGGGUGGGAAGAGUCUAUGUGGCAUUGGAGGUUAAGCUGGAGGAGGUGACAGAGUAAAGCACUACUAAUGUGUUGACUACCUCCUGGAGGAUUCUUUGGGAUAGAUUGCCAACAAGAACUAAUCUUAUUAGAAGAGGAGUGGAAGUGAGUUCUUUGAACUGUCACUACAAUAAAAUCAUGAAAUAGAAACCAAUUUUAGAAACAAAAAAUAAUUAGUUGUUAUAGUGACUAAAUUAGAGACCAUUUUAGAGACUAAAAAAAAUUUUGGUUUCUAAAUUAGUUUCUAUUAUUGUUAAAUGGUUUCUAAAUUGGCAUCUGCUUAGCUACCAAGGUUUUUGCUACCAAAUUUAGAAUAUAAAUAAUUGGUAGUUAAAACCUUGAUAGCUAAUUAAAUACCAAUUUAGAAACUAUUUAACAAUAAUAUAAACUAAUUUAGAAACCAAUUUUUUUUUAGUUUCUAAAAUGAUCUCUAAUUUAGUCACUAUAGCAACUAAUUAUUUUUUGUCUCUAAAAUUGGUUUAUAUUUCAUGAUUUUCUUAUAGUGUGUGUGCUUUUUCAAGCUUCAUAAGAGUCUGUUCAACACUUAUUUUUAGAAUGUACCUUUGUCCAACAUAAGGACAUGAAGCGCCACUUCGAGAGUUUUCACAUAAGUUUUAUGAGUUUCAAGCAGAAUCAGGUGUGGAAAGCUAUAUGGGCGACAAUUGUAAGGUGUAUUUGGGAGCAAAGAAAUUCUAUCUUUAAGAAAAGGGUUGCGGACUCAAAAGAAAUUUUCCUUUCGGCUCAAUUGAGAUCAUGGUUAUAGAUGAAACACAGGUACGCUCCUUCAAUUAUGCUUACUAUGAUUGGCAUUUGAAUCCUGUCAUAUGCAUUAAAAGUUGCUGUUAAAAUCUGGACGGUAGAAAGACAGGGACUCCGCAGGUUAAAACUUGGUGUGGUGUUGCUGAUGUAUUUAAGAUGGGGGCAGUAAUGUCCUACCUUAGUACUAGUGUAGGUAAGCAGUUGUUGUAGAGUGGAAGGGGCGGGACUAUGUAGAAAGAAUUGGUUGGUGGAUGGUGACGAGAUGAGGAGGUGAGCAAAACAUGUUGUAUAAUUAUCUAGCCCACAACAAGUUCAUAUGAGUAAAUUGUUGGAGGGUGUGAGUUUGAUGGAAGUAUGUGUCACCAAUUGUUUUGCAUGCAGUACGUAUAUAUAGCCUAUGUUAUGAAGAUUACAAGGUUCAGUAUAACAAGGGUGGGGGAGGUUUAUGAGGAUGCAACAGGGGCUGAACAGGGGUCUAGAAGCAUAACUACUCAAGUUGCUAGUGUGGUGUAUGUUUUGCUAAAGGUAAGAUAUUGAAUAUGGUGCAGGUCCUUAUUUGGGGUCUUGGGAUGGAAUGGGUGUAAGUAUUAUGACCAAUGAUCUAUUGUUGUAAUAAUAGUAAGGUGAAGUCCUCUGGUGAUUUUGUUGAAUGCUAAGUGUUGAUUUGGGAUCACAUUAUGGUGUUUAAGCGGUUUAUAACGGGUCAAGUAGAAAAGAGUGUAUGUGUGGUUUAGUUACAACAGGUUAGCAGAAAUGAGAUUAAAGUUGUCAAAGGUUUUUUUUAGGGUAAGGGAGUUAUCCCUAAUCACAAGUCUUGUGAUUAUCUUGUUGGACGGUAAGGCCUUAUGAUGGAAGAGAGUCUUCUGUGAGAGGUAGGAGCCAAUUUUAUUUUUUUAUCAACAAUAAAUGAAUAAAAUUAAGGGAAUACUAAGGGGUAUCCCAACCCGUAUACUACAUCCACAAAGUUACACUUCCACAAACGAAAGUAUAACCCAAAAAGCCUAAGCCUACAAAAGGGAAUGCCAAACCCAAACCAGCACUUACGAGAGAACCAAAAUGGCAGUAACAAUAAAAACAGCACCCAAAACCCAACUGCACUCCCAAGAGCAGCACUUAGCAGACUCCACAGCAACACCUACAAAAAAAACUAGCACUCUUCACCAAUUUCCAAGCUGUUCCCCAACCGGCACCCUUUGAAUCACACCUCUCCACUUGAAACCUUCGAUCCUUCACCGACCCUCCCCUACACAUACGUAUAAUAGCAGUCCAACCAGCCACCAGUCCACCUUACACGUAACCCGGCUUAACACUUUGGUUAUUCAUUACCACGACUUCACAUUCCUCAACCAAGCUAACUCUACCCUUGAAAAGCAUGGCUCAAACCCAACCUCAGCUCCCCUCCAAAGCAUCCAACCUUGAUCUAAGCACGCCCCGUGACUCCAGAACUGCAGAAGACCACCCUGCCACAACAAAACAGUUGUUCCCGUGUUAUGACUCCUUUAUGUAGAUGCUUCAUGUUCCUGCAAAAAAUUAUUGAAGACCAACCCCAAUACAGGUAACAACAGCUAACCCCUAAGGGAUUCACUCCUUCACCAUCACAGGUUCCAUCCGAACCACAACCUUCACAUGAUACCAACCAGAAAUACCAGCUUCUUCAGAAGACACAAAACCAGGAAACAUUAGCAGCUUUUAAUACAGAUAAUUGGGUUAAAAACCCAAUCUGUAAAAGAGUAAGAAAACUAACGGGCUUUAUGCUUCAGCCACAACCAAGACUUAAGUUGGGCCCUCUGGAAAACCUCCUUUGCAUCUACUACCCCUUGCUGAAAGGUAAUCAGAUUCCUCUGGUCCCAUAUACUUCUAAUAACAUUUACCCAGACCCCUUUCCAAAUCUUAUUCUGCUUGUUACUAACUUGAAACAAGUGGGAACUUAGGAAAUGUCGCUUAAGAUCAUGAUGCUCAACAAAAGAAAUGCCUACCCACUGGAGGCAUUGGGACCAUACCUGUUGAGCAUAUUUACAAUCCAUGAAAAGAUGUUGACAGGUCUCUUCCUGUAGCAGACACAAGGGACACACUGUCGAGUUCAACAUCAUCCCUCUCCGACUCAAGCUCACUCUAGUGGGGAUUCUCCCCUUAAACACCCUCCAGGCUGUUACCAAAACAUUUGGAAAAGCCUUCACCUUCCACAGGAGCUUAAACACUUCGUCAUUGUUCCCUCUACCAUGCUUAGAUAGACACUACGCUGAGCUCACCGAAAACAGCCCCGGUAUCUCCUUUCCCCAAACCUGGUUAUCCUGGACAUUCUUUCUCAUAAUGACCCUUGAUAGAAUCAGAAUAAGGUCCCUCUCCAGAGAAGAUUCCCAUACAAAUCUGUCGCGCCUCCACCUCAUCAAGUCCCACCUCCACACCGUAUCAUCCCAUACACCCAUCUCCCCCACUACUUUACCUUGGUUUAAAGAUAAAGAGUAUAAGCGCGGGAACAAGAACUUAAGAUCGACACUACCAAUCCAUACAUCCUCCCAGAACUUUGCUUUAUCACCACAACCUACUUUCCAACCUAGCUCUCCCUGAAACCACCCUCUUCCUCCACCAACCUUGCACACUUUAGCGAGGUCUCUCCACCACCAAGAUUGAUAGAGGUAGGAGCCAAUAAUAGUUUUAUGGUAUUUGUGGUCCUUCACCUCUCAUAUGUAAUCAACCUUGUUUAUGGUGUUGUUUCAGUUUGUUUGGAUAAAGCAAGGGUUAUGGGGUUUGAGGGUUCAAGAUUCUAAGCUAUAUGGUGGGUCACAUAGUUGGAAUUGUUGAAUUCAUAAGUCUUGUCAGGUUUGUGUAAGAAUUGUUUAAUUUCAUUACUUGUAAUUUAUACUAAAAGAAAAUUCCCUACUAAAUCUUAAAUUAGUUAUAAGUGUAUAUCUGUCGUUUUAGAAGACUUUCUGUGAAUUUGAUCCUGAUCCAAAUAUUUUACUUUGUAUUUCUGAUUAUAUCACAUUAUGAACACAAUAUAGGAAUUCCCUUUACUUAUUAGAAUAUUCAAUAGUGUAAAUAUCAUAAAUAUUUUGAUUGUAUUCUCUAGUGAGAAUUAAGAUUUCAUUUUAAUAAUUUAAUGUGAAAUACCUAUAAGAUAUACAUUUUGUUAAAUUACUUAAGAUGACUUUAAUUAUUUACAAUAGAUUUCAUUUAACUCAAAAAAAUAAAUUUUAUUUUUUUAAAAUAUGUUUGUAAUCUCUAUAAAAAAAUUAUUAAUUUUGAAUGUAACAGGGCUUACUCCAUAGUUUAUUAUUCUAUUAUUACAUUAUUGAUUCUGUUGUUAUUUUUACCUAUUAAUAAAUACUAUAUGUGUAUUUUAUACAAACGAUAUUAAUCUCAUAUUUAGUUUCUUUAUUUUUAACAAGGAUUAAGAUUCAAAAAAAUUUUAACCCACUCUUCACCAUCAGCCGCCACCCACUGCCGCCAUAGCAGUCGCCGGAGAUAUUUUAAUGUCAUUAUUUUCUCAAGAAUUAGUGAAGUAAAAUUCUAAAUUUAAUUGAAAAAAAAAAUAAAAUAAAAAUAAUAUAUAUAUAUAAAAUAUGCAUACAAUUUCAUCUAAAACUUUCUCUAAAAUAAAUUAUAUAUAUAAUUAUGAUCAGCUUAGUUUGAAUGCAAAUUUGAUAUUUAUUUAUAGUUGUCCACAUCUUUGUAAUAAGUCAUUGGUCGGCAAUGACAUCUCAGAAUUGCAAUCACUGUAAUCUGCAUUUUUUAGGAUAAACUUGUUUGAAAACCAAACAUAGUAGCAAGGCAUGAAUGAGUAAGAAAUUGGGUGACCUUUUGGAGUUGAAUUCUGCAGUAGCUGACCUUCAAGUAAGCGCUUUUUGGAUACAUAGUACUGCGCUUAUGUACAAGCUGAUAUCAUGAAAAGCAUUUUUGGAAUGUAAUAUAGUGUAUGUUUAGACAUGGCAACAACUUUUUAUCGGUCAGACUCAUCUAGCAUCUCCACUUUUGUGUAUUCUCAAAGGCUUCAUUUAACUCAUUUAUUCUUUGCUAAUAAAAAAGGAGAUACAAUAGUUUCUUCCAUAAUUCAACCUUAGGACAAGGUUCUUUGUAUGAGAGGAAAUAUUGUAACGUGUAAGAAAAAUGGGAGCAUAAGAAAUGCUAAGAUAGAGGUAACGGGAAAAGUAGAUGCCCCAAAACAUCACAUGACACGCGAUCAACAAGGAAAGGGACAACAGAAAAGCACGAGAGAUAAGAGAGAGAAUGGAUUUUUAAAGGACUAUAUUUGAAAUAUUUGUUGUUACUGAAUGAGGUACUAUGAUGCAAGCUUAAUCAACUUGAUCGUGGAUGUUGCUAUGAAAUUUUCUCUUCUUUAAUGCACUGAGACAUUGAUCCUUUAUGAUCAUAUCAUAUUUGUAAACAACCACGUUAUACAACCAUACAAAUUCUAUACCAUAUAUAGUGUAUUCUUCACAUUAUCACAGCAUUUAAAGAAAAAGAAAAAUAAUAAUAACACUGGUUUUUCUCAAAUCCAACAACAUAGAUUCAAACAAGUGAGUGAAUGAAGCAUUAUACAAAUAUCUCUGUGCAAAGGUAGGAAGAGAGUAAAAGCUCUUGUGUGCGUUGCUUAUUCAUUUCAUUCACUCUUUUUUUCCAUCAUCUAAAACACUUUAUCAAGUUAUUUUACCUAGCGAGAGGUAUGAGUUGGGCGCUGAAAUCCAGAUUGACCGGUUCAAUUGACUCUGCACUACUGUUAGGUUUUGUUCGAGCUAAUUCAGUUGCUAAGGUCUCCUUUAGUUCAAACACUACCACACUCAUAAUUGGUCUUUGGUUGGGACGUAGAGAAACACAAGCCAUUGCUAUUUCCACGGCUUUCCAGGCUGAGUUAAUGUCAAAAUCUCCUUCUAACCUUGAGUCAACAAUGGCCUUGAUAUCCCCUAUUGCAACCAGGGAUCUAACCCAUUCAAUUAUGUUACUCCUUUCUUCGUUCCUUGCUAUUACUUGCUGGCCUGUGAUUAUUUCCAGAAGAACCACUCCAAAGCUAUAAACAUCACUUUUUUCUGUUAAUCUAUUGUUUGUGUAAUAGCUGCAAUGAAUGCAAGACAUAUCAUGAAACUCAAUAUAUUUUCUGCCAGUGUAUGUGGUGAUAUCUCAAAAUCUCAGAAAUUAAUGGAUGGACAGUAAUUCAAGUUCUU
rnacentral:lncRNA from 1 species